GUGUUAUUUGUCAGUAGUUUUGAUUAAUAAAUUCUAUUUUUAUUUUAUUUGAACAAAUACAAAAUGGGAAACAAAAAUUUAAGUUUUAAUAAUCAUUAUUGAAAGAAAGAAAUCGUUGAAUACCUAGCGUUCGUGGAUGGACAUUUGCUACCGAAACAGAAUACUUACAAUCCUUUUGAAUUGGAAAUCUCAAAUUCUCGAUUUCCCAUACUUUAUAAAAAAUCCGCUUCGCUGAUGAUGUCAAACGGACGUGAAUACUAUCAAAUAUCUACCAUAAAUACCAAGUAAGCUGCGGAUAUAUUUGCACAUUGGCAUGGUAUCUUCUGUCGCCGCCAAAACAACAAACUCAUAAGACGAUGAUGCUUUUCCUGAUAAUCUCCAUAUACGUUAAGAGAUUUUCAAAAUAAAUUGAAUAUGAUUUUAAUGAAAGAGGAAGGCAAAUCCGAUUUUAAUCCAACUUUGAAAAUCACAAUAUUUGCAUCAGUGCUAGGUCAGGUGCGAAAAUCGACAACAUGGGUUCACUCCAUCAAGUACCUCCCCCACAAGGGGUCAACAUAUUGAAUAAAUAUAACUUUUAUAAAAUGUGAUGUAAGAGUCCGAUUAUCUCCAAAAUA